GGUCUUGCCUGCCCAGUGACAAUGUUAAACGGCCGCGGUAUUUUGACCGUGCGAAGGUAGCGCAAUCACUUGUCUUUUAAAUGAAGACCUGUAUGAAUGGUGAAACGAGGGCUUAACUGUCUCCCUUUUCUAGUCAAUGAAAUUGAUCUGCCCGUGCAGAAGCGGACAUAAUAAUACAAGACGAGAAGACCCUUUGGAGCUUAAGAUAUAAAGAUCAUCUAUGUCAAUGGGCCCCAACACGGCAACAAACUAAAUAGCAACUGAUCUUAAUCUUCGGUUGGGGCGACCACGGGAGAAAAUAAAGCUCCCACGCGGACUGGGGUAAACCCUAAAACCAAGAAAAACAUUUCUAAGCAACAGAACUUCUGACCAUUAAGAUCCGGCUACACGCCGACCAACGGACCAAGUUACCCUAGGGAUAACAGCGCAAUCCCCUUUCAGAGUCCAUAUCGACAAGGGGGUUUACGACCUCGAUGUUGGAUCAGGACAUCCUAAUGGUGCAGCCGCUAUUAAGGGUUCGUUUGUUCAACGAUUAAAGUCCUACGUGAUCUGA
rnacentral:rRNA from 1 species